rnacentral:lncRNA from 1 species
UUUAAUAUACUAGUGAACAUAACUUUCUUUCAAAUUUACUUCUUUUUGUUCUAACCCGAUUUUCAACUUUUCUGCAGUUCACACUCUGAGGCCAGCUGACAUUAAAGUAGUCACUGCAAUAGGAAGUUUGCAAACACCACUGGGAUCUGGCAUCCAUCAUGAAAAUUUACUCCAAAGCACAGGAAAGAGCCUCCCUGAAGUGAGCGUGGAAAUUUUGGCAGCUCUUAUUAGCAGUUUUAAUCCCUCGGUCCUGCACCAGUCUCCUCUGCCUGGCACAAUGGAAGCAGCAUCAGAUGGUCAAACAAUGUAAGUUUGAGGGGUUUUUGGCUGGGCUGUUCUCUUAUAUCUGCAGAGGUGGAGGGUAGAUGCAUUUGAUGCUGGAGAAUUUCACUGAACACAAAAUAAGCUCAAUGCCAGGCUGUGCCAGCUCCCCAGGGUCAGACCCUGCCAUGGAUUAGAAAUGUGUCUGCUCUUUUCAUCUCUCUAAACGCACAUCUGAAAGUGAGACAUCUGAAUGUGAGCUUAUCACCCCAGGCUUUCUGUAUAACUCAGACAAGAGUCUAAUUUUUACACGUUCAAGAGUGAAAAGAUGAAUCCCACCUGAUGUUUCAAAUGUUGACUUUGUAAUAAAAAUCUGCCAAAGCUUUACCCUUGCUGAUGC